UAGAUCUUUCCAUUUUGGCACCGGAAAAGUGAUCCUCAUCUUGAGAUCUACGAUUUGAGGUUUUAGAUGAAGAAAUCGCAAGAUUUGAAGUGCAUUUGAUGAUUUCUUGAGUUAAAGAAGAGAUUUGGAGUUUUGAAGGUGGUAUUGAACAAAGAGGUUUUGCUAGAACCUCGGGUCCGCAUGUCGGAUCUCUCUCGUACCGAGGG